GUGCUCACUUCGGCAGCACGUAUACUAAAAUUGGAAUGAUACAGAGAAGAUUAGCAUGGCCCCUGCGCACAGACGACACGAAUCAAGGAUGACACGCAAAUUCGUGAAGUGUCCCAUAUUUUU
rnacentral:snRNA from 1 species